GACGAACGCUGGCGGCGUGCUUAACACAUGCAAGUCGAACGGUGAUCCCCAGCUUGCUGGGGUGAUCAGUGGCGAACGGGUGAGUAACACGUGAGCAACCUGCCCCCGACUCUGGGAUAGCCUCGGGAAACCGGGAUUAAUACCGGAUAUGACACCUCCAGGCAUCUGGUGGUGUGGAAAGUUCUUCGGUCGGGGAUGGGCUCGCGGCCUAUCAGCUUGUUGGUGGGGUGAUGGCCUACCAAGGCGACGACGGGUAGCCGGCCUGAGAGGGUGACCGGCCACACUGGGACUGAGACACGGCCCAGACUCCUACGGGAGGCAGCAGUGGGGAAUAUUGCGCAAUGGGCGAAAGCCUGACGCAGCGACGCCGCGUGAGGGAUGAAGGCC
rnacentral:rRNA from 1 species